rnacentral:rRNA from 1 species
GGAAUAUUGGUCAAUGGACGGAAGUCUGAACCAGCCAUGCCGCGUGAAGGAAUAAGGCCCUAUGGGUUGUAAACUUCUUUUGUAGUGGAGCAAUAAGGUGUACGCGUACACCGAUGAGAGUACAUUACGAAUAAGCAUCGGCUAACUCCGUGCCAGCAGCCGCGGUAAUACGGAGGAUGCAAGCGUUAUCCGGAUUUAUUGGGUUUAAAGGGUGCGUAGGCUGUCAGGAAAGUCAGGGGUGAAAUACCUGAGCUUAACUCAGGAACUGCCUUUGAUACUUCCUGACUGGAAUACUGUUGCCGUGGGAGGAAUGAGUAGUGUAGCGGUGAAAUGCAUAGAUAUUACUCAGAACACCGAUUGCGAAGGCAUCUCACGAAGCAGCUAUUGACGCUGAGGCACGAAAGCGUGGGGAUCAAACA